rnacentral:tRNA from 1 species
UGUUCUGUGGCUUAGUUUGUAAAAGCACCGGAGUUUGUAAAAGCAGCGAUACGGAGUCGUGUGUUUGAAUCCCACCAAAACAA